rnacentral:rRNA from 1 species
UACGUAGGGUGCAAGCGUUGUCCGGAAUUAUUGGGCGUAAAGAGCUCGUAGGCGGUCUGUCGCGUCUGCUGUGAAAACUCGGGGCUUAACCCGGCUCGGCCAGUGGUGACGGGCAGACUAGAGUGCGGUAGGGGAGACUGGAAUUCCUGGUGUAGCGGUGAAAUGCGCAGAUAUCAGGUGGAACACCGGUGGCGAAGGCGGGUCUCUGGGCCGUAACUGACGCUGAGGAGCGAAAGCGUGGGGAGCGAACAGG